AUUGAACGCUGGCGGCAGGCCUAACACAUGCAAGUCGAGCGGAUGACGGGAGCUAGCCCCUUGAUCCAGCGGCGGACGGGUGAGUAAUGACUAGGAAUGUGCCCGGGAGUGGGGGACAACGCUUCGAAAGGCACGCUAAUACCGCAUACGUCCUACGGCAGAAAGCAGGGGAACUUCGGGCCUUGCGCUAUCAGAUGAGCCUAGGUCGGAUUAGCUAGUAGGUGAGGUAAUGGCGCACCUAGGCGACGAUCCGUAACUGGUCUGAGAGGAUGAUCAGUCACACUGGAACUGAGACACGGUCGAGACUCCUACGGGAGGCAGCAGUGGGGAAUAUUGGACAAUGGGCGAAAGCCUGAUCCAGCCAUGCCGCGUGUGUGAAGAAGGUCUUCGGAUUGUAAAGCACUUUAGGUUGGGAGGAAGCGCAGUGAGCUAAUACCUUGCUGUUUUGACGUUACCGGCAGAAUAAGCACCGGCUAACUCUGUGCCAGCCGCCGCAGUAAAAC
rnacentral:rRNA from 1 species